UAGGGGAUAUUGGUAAAUGGGCGAAAGCCUGAACCAGCAACGCCGCGUGUGCGAUGAAGGCCUUCGGGUUGUAAAGCACUUUUUACCGGGAAGAGGAAGGACGGUACCGGUAGAAUAAGCCUCGGCUAACUACGUGCCAGCAGCCGCGGUAAAACGUAGGGUGCGAGCGUUAAUCGGAAUUACUGGGCGUAAAGCGUGCGCAGGCGGUUUUGUAAGACAGAUGUGAAAUCCCCGGGCUUAACCUGGGAACUGCGCUUGUGACUGCAAGGCUGGAGUACGGCAGAGGGGGGUGGAAUUCCACGUGUAGCAGUGAAAUGCGUAGAGAUGUGGAGGAACACCGAUGGCGAAGGCAGCCCCCUGGGCCUGUACUGACGCUCAUGCACGAAAGCGUGGGGAGCAAACA
rnacentral:rRNA from 1 species